UAGCGUAUAUUAAAGUUGUUGUGGUUAAAAAGCUCGUAGUUGGAUUUCGGCGGGUAUUGGUUGGUUUGAAUUGCUUCAAUACUGACUAUUUUACCCGUGUGUUUUGCCAGAAUUUGGCGGGUGAUCUUAAACGAUUGUCCGUCAGAACUGGCAGGUUUACUUUGAAAAAAUUAGAGUGCUCAAAGCAGGCUUAAUUGCUUGAAUAUUCGUGCAUGGAAUAAUAGAAUAGGAAGUCGUUUCUAUUUUGUUGGUUUUCGGAAAUCGACUUAAUGAUUAAUAGGGAUAGUCGGGGGCAUUUGUAUUCAAACGACAGAGGUGAAAUUCUUGGACCGUUUGAAGACAAACUACUGCGAAAGCAUUUGCCAAGAAUGUUUUCAUUAAUCAAGAACGAAAGUUAGAGGUUCGAAGGCGAUUAGAUACCGCCCUAGUUCUAACCAUAAACGAUGCCAGCUAGCGAUCUGCCGGCGUUUUAUUUUCUGACUUGGCAGGGAGCUUCCGGGAAACCAAAGCUUGUGGGUUCCAGGGGAAGUAUGGUUGCAAAGCUGAAACU
rnacentral:rRNA from 1 species